rnacentral:rRNA from 1 species
GGAGUCACGCCAGAAAUCUUACCCGGAGAGACAGCAGAAUGAAGGUCAAGCUGAAGACUUUACCAGACAAGCUGAGAGGUGGUGCAUGGCCGUCGCCAGCUCGUGCCGUGAGAUGUCCUGUUAAGUCAGGUAACGAGCGAGAUCCCUGCCACUAGUUGCUAUCAUUAUUCUCAGGAAUAGUGGGGCGAAUUAGUGGGACUGCCGUUGUUAAAACGGAGGAAGGAAGGGGCUACGGCAGGUCAGUAUGCCCCGAAACUCUGGGGCCACACGCGGGCUGCAAUGGUAGCGACAAUGAGCUCCAAACUCGAAAGAGAGUGGCAAUCUCUAAACGCUACCACAGUUAUGACUGAGGGCUGUAACUCGCCCUCACGAAUAUGGAAUCCCUAGUAACCGCGUGUCAUUACCGCGCGGUGAAUACGUCCCUGCUCCUUGCACACACCGCCCGUCGUUUCAUCGAAAUUUGCUUUUAGCGAGGUGAUGUUUAAUUGACAUUAUCGAACUUGAGGUAAGUGACGAGGGAAAAGUCGUAACAAGGUGACCGUAGGGGAACCUGCGGUCGGAUCA